rnacentral:rRNA from 1 species
UUCCGGUUGAUCCCGCCGGAGGCUACCGCUAUUGGAGUUCGAUUAAGCCAUGCGAGUCGAGAGUCUUCAAGGACUCGGCGUACCGCUCAGUAACACGUGGGUAACCUGCCCUAUGCUGGGGAAUAACCUCGGGAAACUGAGAAUAAUACCCCAUAGUUCACCACGCCUGGAACGGUGGGUGGAUGAAAGCUCCGGCGGCAUAGGAUGGGCCUGCGGCGUAUCAGGUUGUAGGGGGUGUAAUGUACCCUCUAGCCAUCUACGCGUACGGGUGUUGGGAGACAUCGCCCGGAGAUGGAUUCUGAGACACGAAUCCAGACCCUACGGGGUGCAGCAGGCGCGAAAACUUGGCAAUGCGAGCAAUCGUGACCAGGGAACUCCAAGUGCAUCGGGUAAGACCGAUGCUUUUCUUGACUCUUCAAAGGUCUUGGAAUAAGGGGUGGGUAAGGACGGUGCCAGCCGCCGCGGUAAUACCGGCGCCUCAAGUGGUAGUCGCUUUUAUUGGGCCUAAAACGUCCGUAGCCGGUUUGGUACAUUCGUGGGUAAAUCAAGGCGCUCAACGUCUUGAAUUCUGCGAGCACGGCCAGACUUGGGACCGGGUGAGGUGUGGGGUACUCUCAGGGUAGGGGUAAAAUCCUGUCAUCCUGAGAGGACCACCUGUUGCGAAGGCGCCACACUAGAACGGAUCCGACGGUCAGGGACGAAGCCUAGGGGCACGAACCGGAUUAGAUACCCGGGUAGUCCUAGGUGUAAACGCUGUGGACUUGAUGUUGGGAGUGCUCCGAGCACCCUCAGUGUCGAAGCGAAGGUGAUAAGUCCACUGCCUGGGGAGUACGGUCGCAAGGCUGAAACUUAAAGGAAUUGGCGGGGGAGCACUGCAACCUGAGGAUUGUGCGGUUUAAUUGGAGUCAACGCCGG